AGCUUCUGAUGGAGAUUUGGAGACUGCCAACUCUUUGCUUGUUCAUAUAAUUUCUAUCAGUAGAGCGCCUGUGUAAUGCUUCCAUCUGAUGUCAACCUUUCUUUGGUACCGUCUCGACUAUUAAAAGAAAAGCAAUUUCCAUCAAGCAUGGAAGGGGUUGAAAUUCUUGAUCUAAGCAUUCAAAGGAAGCUUUAUGUUUUACCAUUUCGACGCCCCAUGGCAACUUUCACCAAUCCUCAAUAGCCUCUUAUGAAUUUUCAGCUGUUGGUAGCGGCAAGGACGCAGCAAUUCAUAGGGGAGGUGGUGAAGCAGAGGCUGCUCCAGUGACAUCAGGGCUACCUGCUCUAGUGUCUGAGGGUGAUAGCAGACAUUCCAUCAGUCCACUUGUGCCUCCACAACUUCAUCCUUGUAACAACAAUGAAGGGGAAAGGAUCACGCUGCACACGAAGUAGAAAAUCCUAACAAAGGCUGAUUUUGUAUAGCGGGCUGAGAAUUUGAGACCAUGUUAGAGCUUUGAUGUAUAAAAAGUUGAUAACGGUCGUCAUCGAGUUGGGUACAGCAUUACCAUUUAGGUUUGGGCCGAACUUGAACUUGGCCCUACAUUUGCUUCUAGGCGUUGGUUCUUGUCGUCAUUUUGUAGCCCAAAUCAACAGAAACAAUUAAUUGCGAUAAUGUUGCCAAAUAGUGUAGGAAUCACUUGCUAAUCCACACCCAAAGGCAUCAACAAAAUGGGUAGCAGAGCUUUGCCGAUACUCAGCAGCUUCAAGUUUAAAACCCGCUUGUCUUUUGCUUCUUCUUCUUCGUAUCCGUUAUUUCUUAUUAACAAUAAUCCCAAAAUCCGAAACUUCUCUAUUAAAACGAGGUCGUCUUUGCAGCCACCGGAUGUGCUUCGUUUGGCUGAAACAGCUCGUAUUUCACUCGCCCCAAAUGAGGUUGAAGAAUCCGCUCCCAAAAUUCGACAAGUGAUAGAAUGGUUUGGGCAACUUCAAUCUGUUGAUCUUGACAGUGUCGAGCCUGCUAUUAGAGCUGACACUGAAGGUGAUAAUUUGCGUGAAGAUGUCCCUGAAGCAUUUGAGAAUAAGGAAGCACUUUUAGCAUCUGUUCCAAGCUAUGAGGAGCCAUAUAUCAAAGUUCCUAAAGUAUUGAACAAGGAGUAGCAUUUGGGUACCAUGUUAUUCUCCUUUUAGUUCCCAAAGAUUUUCAUCUAUGAAAGAUGCAGAAGUUAUAGAAGCCAUUCCUGCGCUUAGAAAAAAGGAGGCAUCUCGAUUGUACGGGAUAAUCGACUAACAUGAGUAAGGAAACUUUCUCGUUCAGUAACCAAGGCCAUUUGGAUUUGGUGCAACAAAUUCUUGUAGCCUUGUUCUAGUUCAAGUUUUUCUUAAUUUGAGGUCCGCUGGGCAACUUUUUUGUAUCUGACUCUACCUCAAUUUUGUUGCAAGUUUAAUUUUUCCAGCUCGUAAUCUGGAAUGUUAGUGUUACACAGGCUGGCUAGACACUGCAACUUUGGCAGAAGUUCCCACUGGACAGUUUUAUCUAGUUUAAGUUGCCGACAGAAUAAAAUCAAGUAAAAUUUGCGAUAAGAUUAAGUACUCCUAGGGAAAAGGAUAGAAUAAAUGAUAGUUUUAUAAGCAUUGCUGAAUGAUUAAUUUGCAAGGUUCCAGUUGCCAAUUAAUCCUGCUGGAACAAGCUGAACACGAAAUAAAUAUACAAAUGAAUUAUCUAAAACAUUAUACCCAAAGUUGCUAUUUACAUUGGAACUCCCAAAAUUAAAGAAAAUUCUUUAAGAACUUGGUAAGAAUGCAUGCCCUUAUCCAAUAUUUUUCUUUCGAUUUUUUUUUUCUCCUUUGUUUCUAUUUCUACAUUUGUGUCAAGAACUCCCUAGUUACUCUCAAAUUACAUACAAAAUAGAACAGUAAAAAACUGAACAAAAGA